AAAUUAUCCGGGUGUACAAGGUUUAUGCUUCCCAAGACAGGAAUAAAACAAAACAAAACCACACAAAAGAAUGAGUCAAGCCUUGGAAAGAAAGCUGCUUCUGCAAGAAACGGCAAAAAUAAAGAGCACGGGGUGCACCAACGGAGAGAAGCUGGCUGGUUGUCUGAGCACACGCUGAAAGGUGGGAAGAAAAGGGCACCGUGGAUGAGUCCAGGGGGUUCUCUGCAUGAGAAGCACAAGAAGAAAGCAGCAGGUGGAAGUAAAAUACAUUCAGCGCUGAUAUAUGUCACCACCUCUAUAGCAGUUCAGCCAUGUACAACACGACACCACCAUGCUUACCUAACAGAGGUGGCAGCCAGUUCACGUUGGCCUCGCAAUGGGAAUCCAAGAAGGUGAUAACAUCUCCUAUUGCCACAGAGGCCCCCAGCAUCCGAG
rnacentral:lncRNA from 1 species